UACGUAGGGACCAAGCGUUGUUCGGAUUUACUGGGCGUAAAGGGCGCGUAGGCGGCAAAUUAAGUCAGCUGUGAAAUCUCCGAGCUUAACUCGGAACUGUCAGCUGAUACUGAUGUGCUAGAGUGCGGAAGGGGCAAUCGGAAUUCUUGGUGGUAGCGGUGAAAUGCGUAGAUAUCAAGGGGAACACCUGAGGUGAAGACGGGUUGCUGGGCCGACACUGACGCUGAGAGACGAAAGCUAGGGGAGCAAAUGGG
rnacentral:rRNA from 1 species